rnacentral:rRNA from 1 species
GACGAACGCUGGCGGCGUGCCUAAUACAUGCAAGUUGAGCGAUGAAGAUUGGUGCUUGCACCAAUUUGAAGAGCAGCGAACGGGUGAGUAACGCGUGGGGAAUCUGCCUUUGAGCGGGGGACAACAUUUGGAAACGAAUGCUAAUACCGCAUAAUAACUUUAAACAUAAGUUUUAAGUUUGAAAGAUGCAAUUGCAUCACUCAAAGAUGAUCCCGCGUUGUAUUAGCUAGUUGGUGAGGUAAAGGCUCACCAAGGCGAUGAUACAUAGCCGACCUGAGAGGGUGAUCGGCCACAUUGGGACUGAGACACGGCCCCAACUCCUACGGGAGGCAGCAGUAGGGAAUCUUCGGCAAUGGACGAAAGUCUGACCGCGCAACGCCGCGUGAGUGAAGAAGGUUUUCGGAUCGUAAAACUCUGUUGGUAGAGAAGAACGUUGGUGAGAGUGGAAAGCUCAUCAAGUGACGGUACCUACCCAGAAAGCGACGGCUAACUACGUG